GAUGUUUUGCUUGCUGAUAAGGAACAGAAAGGUAAGAAGCGUAAGGUCACAAUGGGCAAAAAUGCAACUCCUGGAGAAGCAUCAGUUACACCAGCUAAGAAACAAAGGCGUACAUCCCAAACUAGAGAAAAACUGAAGCAAUCAUCAAAAGGUGAUGAUGAUGAGGAUGAAGAUAAAGUUGAAUCCCCAGAUGCUAAGGAUGCUAAAAAUGACUCUCAAGAUGAUGACGGUGAUGAAAAUGAGACAAUGCCAAAAGAGGAGAGUGAUCAUGAGGAGAGCAAAUCAGGGGAAGAGGAAGAUGAACCAAAGGAGCAGAUGUCAACUCCAAAGGCAUCCAAAAAAAAUGAGAAGGAAAGUUCAGGAGCUAAAAGCAAGGACAAACUCACACUUGGCAAGAAGAGCACCCAGGCAAAACCAAUAAAAAGUCCUUCAAAAUCUACCAAAAAAUCAUCAAAGCAAGGUGCUGCAGACACUGAUGGAACUUCUUUUUCACAAUCCAAAUCAAAGGGAUCUACAUCAAAGAAACAGAAAGUUGAAAAGGAAAGUCCAACAGAUCGAAGUGCUCCCAGCAAGAACAAAGGCUCAAGCAAGAAACUGUUAGGCAAGUUGCCAUUGAACGCUUCUGCAAAGGACCAAGGUAAAGCCAAAUCUGGCAGGAAGGC
rnacentral:misc_RNA from 1 species